rnacentral:lncRNA from 1 species
GGAGAGGCAGCUGCGGGAGCUGGAGGAGCGCUACGCGCUGGAGACCGCCGGCUACCAGGACACGGUGGUGAGGCUGGAGGAGGACAUCCGCAGCCUGAAGGAGGAGAUGGCGCGGCACCUGCAGGAGUACCAGGACCUGCUCAACGUCAAGCUGGCCCUCGACAUCGAGAUCGCCACGUACCGCAAGCUGCUGGAGGGCGAGGAGAGCAGGUGAUGGCAGAGCGGGGCCUCAUCCUGCCCCGAACCAUCCCCACGUCCUCCUGGUCCCUCUGGGGGUGAGGAGCAGCCCCCAGCCCUCCUGCCCCAGCCCUGGGCAGAGUGGAGCUGCUGUGUGGGGCGGUGGGGACAUGGUACUGUCCCCGACGCCCCCGUCGCUCCCCCAGGAUCACCAUCCCCGUGCAGACCUUCUCCAACCUGCAGAUCCGAGGUGGGCAGGAUGGUGGUGCUGUGAGUGGGGUCUGAGGGCCGGGAGGGCCUGGGGGCUCCUGGGGAGGAGGUGUCAUCCUGGCCAGCCCUGCCCCAUCCAGAAGGAGUGGGAUGUUUUCCUCCAAAUCUCAAGGAACGAGGAUUCCCGGGUCCUGUCCCUGGCACCAACCUGCUGCCAGGUCCCUGUGCCCCAGGGGACCCCAGGAUGGAGGGGAGGAGUGUGCCGUGGCUGCAUCCCCAAGGCCAACAAUGCCAUCUGUCCCCCCAGGGUCAACCCUGUUGCCAAGACCAACCACAUCCCAAAACUAUCCACAUCCCAAAGCCCAAACGUAUUGCCAAGACUGAUCCUAUCCCCAGUGCCAGCUGUGUCCCCAGGGCCAACCACAUCCUGAAGCCAGUCACGUCCCCAGUGCAAACCAUGUCCCCAGAGUCGUCCAUGUCCCUGAGGCUGAUCACGUCCCCAGGGCUGCUCACUGCCAUGGGUUUUUCCACUGGGGUUUUCCAGCCCAACACGGUUCCUUUGGGCCCCUUCAAUUGUGCAUGGGUGGAGGGGCCGCACGCGGGACACUGGGGUCACUGCUGUGUCCUGCCCGCGUCCCCCAGAGACCAGCCUGGAUGCCAAAUCCCUGUCAGAAGCUCACCCGAAGAGGACCAUCGUGGUCAAAACUGUGGAGACCAGAGAUGGAGAGGUGAUCAAGGAGUCCAAGCAGGAGCACAAGGAGGUGGCGUAGGGCGGGCGAGCCGCAGCAGCCGCGCUUGUAGCCAUAGCCCCGUAGGUGCCGUCCGAUGCUGCAAGGGACCCCGGUGACCGGGCAGGAGCCACGGGAUGAGGUGGGGGUGCUCUGGGGGGCACCUCCCUCCUGCCCACCCUCGCCUCUCCCACUACCCCGGGACCCCCUGGUUGGGGCCGGGCACUGUGUGGGGAGGGGAUGGGAGACAUGGGGGGAGGUGAGCGGUACUGGGCAGAGCCUGGUCCCACAGCACAGCAGGGCUGGCAUUUUGGGGGCCAUGCCAAGCGUGCGCCCUGGGUCUCUGGCUCGCUGAUGUCUGUCGAGGAAGUCCACCCUGUUUUGAUCUCUGCAUGCCAGUUGGAAAAGGCAACGGUGCAAAGAGCAUCUCUCCCUGCAUCCCACCCCGCUGCCCACUCUCUGCUCCAGGAGGCCGCCCUGAAUCUGCCCCUGUGCCCGGGCCCUGAACAUCCUGGGGGGGCUGCAGGGGGCAA